AACGAACGCUGGCGGCAUGCCUAACACAUGCAAGUCGAACGAUUGCCUUCGGGUGAUAGUGGCGCACGGGUGCGUAACGCGUGGGAAUCUGCCCUUAGGUUCGGAAUAACAGCUGGAAACGGCUGCUAAUACCGGAUGAUAUCGCGAGAUCAAAGAUUUAUCGCCUGAGGAUGAGCCCGCGUUGGAUUAGGUAGUUGGUGGGGUAAAGGCCUACCAAGCCGACGAUCCAUAGCUGGUCUGAGAGGAUGAUCAGCCACACUGGGACUGAGACACGGCCCAGACUCCUACGGGAGGCAGCAGUGGGGAAUAUUGGACAAUGGGCGCAAGCCUGCUCCAGCAAUGCCGCGUGAGUGAUGAAGGCCCUAGGGUUGUAAAGCUCUUUUACCCGGGAAGAUAAUGACUGUACCGGGAGAAUAAGCCCCGGCUAACUCCGUG
rnacentral:rRNA from 1 species